rnacentral:rRNA from 1 species
AUUGAACGCUAGCGGCAUGCCUUACACAUGCAAGUCGAGCGGAGUGGCGGACGGGUGAGUAAUGCAUAGGAAUCUGCCUGGUAGUGGGGGAUAACUUCCCGAAAGCGUCGCUAAUACCGCAUACUAUCGGAUCAGCCUAGGUCGGAUUAGCUAGUUGGUGGGGUAACGGCCCACCAAGGCGACGAUCCGUAACUGGUCUGAGAGGACGAUCAGUCACACUGGAACUGAGAAACGGUCCAGACUCCUACGGGAGGCAGCAGUGGGGAAUUUUGGACAAUGGGCGAAAGCCUGAUCCAGCCAUGCCGCGUGGAUGAUGAAGGCCUUCGGGUUGUAAAGCACUUUAGGCGGGGAGGCGUUACCCGCAGAAUAAGCACCGGCUAACUCCGUGCCAGCAGCCGCGGUAAUAC